GAUGAGAGGAGCUUGCUCCUUGAUUUAGCGGCGGACGGGUGAGUAAUGCCUAGGAAUCUGCCUGGUAGUGGGGGAUAACGUCCGGAAACGGGCGCUAAUACCGCAUACGUCCUACGGGGGAAAGCAGGGGACCUUCGGGCCUUGCGCUAUCAGAUGAGCCUAGGUCGGAUUAGCUAGUUGGUGAGGUAAUGGCUCACCAAGGCGACGAUCCGUAACUGGUCUGAGAGGAUGAUCAGUCACACUGGAACUGAGACACGGUCCAGACUCCUACGGGAGGCAGCAGUGGGGAAUAUUGGACAAUGGGCGAAAGCCUGAUCCAGCCAUGCCGCGUGUGUGAAGAAGGUCUUCGGAUUGUAAAGCACUUUAAGUUGGGAGGAAGGGCAUUAACCUAAUACGUUAGUGUUUUGACGUUACCGACAGAAUAAGCACCGGCUAACUUCGUGCCAGCAGCCGCGGUAAUACGAAGGGUGCAAGCGUUAAUCGGAAUUACUGGGCGUAAAGCGCGCGUAGGUGGUUCGUUAAGUUGGAUGUGAAAGCCCCGGGCUCAACCUGGGAACUGCAUCCAAACUGGCGAGCUAGAGUACGGUAGAGGGUGGUGGAAUUUCCUGUGUAGCGGUGAAUGCGUAAUAUAUGAAGGACAGCACUGGCGAGGCGACAUCUGACUGAUACUGACACUGAGUGCUAAGCGUGGGAGCAAACAGGAUG
rnacentral:rRNA from 1 species